AUUGAACGCUGGCGGCAGGCCUAACACAUGCAAGUCGAGCGGAUGAAGGGAGCUUGCUCCUGGAUUCAGCGGCGGACGGGUGAGUAAUGCCUAGGAAUCUGCCUGGUAGUGGGGGAUAACGUCCGGAAACGGGCGCUAAUACCGCAUACGUCCUGAGGGAGAAAGUGGGGGAUCUUCGGACCUCACGCUAUCAGAUGAGCCUAGGUCGGAUUAGCUAGUUGGUGGGGUAAAGGCCUACCAAGGCGACGAUCCGUAACUGGUCUGAGAGGAUGAUCAGUCACACUGGAACUGAGACACGGUCCAGACUCCUACGGGAGGCAGCAGUGGGGAAUAUUGGACAAUGGGCGAAAGCCUGAUCCAGCCAUGCCGCGUCUGUGAAGAAGGUCUUCGGAUUGUAAAGCACUUUAAGUUGGGAGGAAGGGCAGUAAGUUAAUACCUUGCUGUUUUGACGUUACCAACAGAAUAAGCACCGGCUAACUUCGUG
rnacentral:rRNA from 1 species